UACAGAGGGUGCAAGCGUUAAUCGGAAUUACUGGGCGUAAAGCGCGCGUAGGUGGUUUGUUAAGUCGAACGUGAAAUCCCCGGGCUCAACCCGGGAACUGCGUCCGAUACUGGCAGGCUUGAAUCCGGGAGAGGGAUGCGGAAUUCCAGGUGUAGCGGUGAAAUGCGUAGAUAUCUGGAGGAACACCGGUGGCGAAGGCGGCAUCCUGGACCGGCAUUGACGCUGAGGCGCGAAAGCCAGGGGAGCAAACGGG
rnacentral:rRNA from 1 species